UUUUGUUCAGUGUUUACUUUGUCAAGAUAAACUUGUUCUUCCUGACGUGGUGAAAUGUGUCAGCAUUAUCCAAAUAUCUUGUGUCAGACCGUUUUGGUAAGUAAAAAAAUCCUAUAAAGUCCUCUUUGCUUCAUAUUCUGUCGCCACUCCUAUCUUCUUCCUCUCCUUUCCAACACAAACUGCCCUUCACUCCCUUUUCCCUUUCAAGCUCAUUAUAAUUCUUCUACUUAGGAUUCCGGUUUUAGAAUUGUGUGUACUCUCUUCAGAACCCAAGGACAAUGCUGAAAACGUGUAUUCGUGUCUCUGAAACCUCAGAUUUGUUUCAUUCUUUCAGCUGAUAUGGACUUAAAGGGAAUGGAAGUCACUG